AGUGAACGCUGGCGGUAGGCCUAACACAUGCAAGUCGAACGGCGGCACAGUAAGCGCUUGCUCCGACGGGUGGCGAGUGGCGGACGGGUGAGGAAUACAGCGGAAUCUACUUUUUCGUGGGGGAUAACGUAGGGAAACUUACGCUAAUACCGCAUACGACCUACGGGUCAAAUCAGGGGAUCUUCGAACAUUUCGCGAAUGAAUGAGCCGAUGUCGGAUUAGCUAGUUGGCGGGGCAAAGGCCCACCAAGGCGACGAUCCGUAGCUGGUCUGAGAGGAUGAUCAGGCACACUGGAAGUGAGACUCGGUCCACACUCCUGCGGGAGGAAGCAGUGGGGAAUACUGGGCGAUGGGGGCAAGCCUGAUCCAGCCAUACCGCGUGGGUGAAGAAGGCCUGCGGGUUGUAAAGCCAUUUUGUUUGGAGAGAAAAGCAGCAGGGUAAUACCCCGCUGUUCUGACGGUACCCAAAGAAUAAGCCCCGGCUAACUUCGUG
rnacentral:rRNA from 1 species